AGAGCGAACGCUGGCGGCAGGCCUAACACAUGCAAGUCGAACGAAGUCUUCGGACUUAGUGGCGGACGGGUGAGUAACACGUGGGAACGUACCUUUGGUUCGGAACAACUCAGGGAAACUUGAGCUAAUACCGAAUGUGCCCUUAGGGGGAAAGAUUUAUCGCCAUUAGAGCGGCCCGCGUUAGAUUAGCUUGUUGGUGAGGUAAAGGCUCACCAAGGCUACGAUCUAUAGCUGGUCUGAGAGGAUGAUCAGCCACACUGGGACUGAGACACGGCCCAGACUCCUACGGGAGGCAGCAGUGGGGAGUCUUGCGCAAUG
rnacentral:rRNA from 1 species